CAAUAGCGUAUAUUAAAGUUGUUGCAGUUAAAAAGCUCGUAGUUGGAUUUCGGGGCAGCCUGGCUGGUCCGCCGCAAGGCGAGUACUGGUCAGCCGCCCUUCCUCUCGAAAGCCCCGACUGCUCUUUAUUGCAGUGGUCGGGUAGUUCGGGACGUUUACUUUGAAAAAAUUAGAGUGUUCAAGGCAGGCCUACGCCUGAAUACAUUAGCAUGGAAUAAUGGAAGAGGACCUCGGUCCUAUUUUGUUGGUUUCCAGGACCGAAGUAAUGAUUAAGAGGGACAGUUGGGGGCAUUCGUAUUUAAUUGUCAGAGGUGAAAUUCUCGGAUUAAUGAAAGACGAACAACUGCGAAAGCAUUUGCCAAGGAUGUUUUCAUUAA
rnacentral:rRNA from 1 species